GGUGCGCCUCUCUUUGCCCUAGCUCUACCAUGGAAGUUGUCUUUCGAUCUUCCUCUCGGUUCGUCCCCGUAUGAUAUAUGUUUUUAGUUUACUUUCAGGCCCUUAUACUUCUGGCAUAUUUAUCUCUGCAUCUCUUCCCAUUUCCGAUGAGUUCUUACACAUUGAAAUUCGGUGCUCCAUUUUAUUUUAUUUUUUUAGAAUCGAUAAUUUUUGUUUUUUUGUUUUUGAAAUUUUAGAAAAGGAUAUCUUUACAAUCAUGUAUUUUUUUAUUCGCAUCGGCGAAUGAUUUUUAACGAUGUGUUACUGAAUUGAGAUUGAGAUGGUGGAUGCAAACGCACUCUGUCCCAGAACCGGUUUCUUCUAAAGAAGCGAAUGUUUUGAGGCAAUUUCUUCGUUUGCAAUAUGGAUGAACUUUUUGGGAGUUCUGUUCCAAUUAACUCGCCUCUGUGAUCUUCAUCCAAUGGUCACUUUGGGCACAUUAUUGGAUUACAUUUCCAUUCAAUAAUCUUAUUGCCUUCCCUCUUUUCUGUCCUUAUUUUGAUUCAGUACCAAAAUCUGUUAAGAUUAGCACCACAAAGAUUCUAAUACAUCUUUUGAAUGCUUAUUUUAUGUGGGCUUGAGCAGAUGAUGAAACAAACAUAUCAUGUCACUGAUACUACUCUCCAUGAUGUUUCAAAUUCGAGCUUUUUAAAACUGAUGCUCUCCCACUUGAUACUUUUCUCUGCACUUUGUAAUCCUUUUCACCUUAUUGUCUAGAAAGAAAGUGAUGGUGGGUCACGUAGUUUGUUUAUUUACUCAUCAUUCUAGCACCCUCCUUCUCCCCUCAUUUUGUUUAUUCAUGUACAGGAACUAUUUUGUAUCCAUCUUUCGUUGCUGUAUUCAAUUGUCCAAUUGCUCUAACCUGUAAAUAUUGUCGUUGAGAAAUCCUCUUCUUAGAUUCAAGUUCUAUGCUGUAAGGAUUGAAAAAAGGAAUUAGGAACUAGGCAGGCCUAGGUCUAGGUUUCUACCUUCAAGAAUGAACUUGAGGUAGAAAAAUUUAAACAAAAAGCUAUCUGAUGUAGAUAAGUUGUUAACCUUCACUGUUCUUCCCCCUCCCUUUUUAACCCGUGCAAUCUCUUACCUCCCAUUGAAAUUGAAGGGUUGUCGUCCCAGAUGGCAUUUUGAUUGUGUAGGGAAACUCUGCUUGCAAAACAUCUUUUGGCUAUUCUUAUCCUAUUCAAAUGGCAUUCAUUUGCAGUUUAAUUUAUUAGCUACGGACAAGGGAGUGACCUUAUCAGACCUUCUCUAGAGGUUGAUUUGAGUAAAUUUUCUAUGGCUUGUAUGGUCUUACCUUUUUGCAAAUUGGAGAAAGGGUUUUGGUAGAUGCAAUCCUCGAGAAUCUCAUGAGAUUGAUUUGUCCAGAAAAUCAAUUGAAGUGUCUUGAGAGAUUUUGGUUGGAUACAAGAACGUCAAUAUGAAAUUUUGGAGUUAAACACUGCCAGUGGACAGAUCUGAUUAGGGGGGGUAAGUCAACCUACUAUUUACAAUUCAUAUUUAACUCAUUGUGAUAGAUUUGGCAGACAGUUGAGUAGUCAUUCCUGAUAGAUUUAUGCAGCAUGCGGGUAGAGGUUUUCAUGAUAUUAAUGGAGGGGACUUUCGUACAUGGUUGCACUUAGCUAUGUGAUUUGGUCAAUAUUUGAUUCAGCAAAAAACUGCUGGGUUGAAUUGGUUCUCAUCAAUUUGUAACAUCCCAACCUAAUGCUACUUGGGCCAAUGGUUAGCCUUAUAUUUGGAAAGCCUCUUAUUUCAGGUUCGGUUUGUAAAUAAUGAAAUGGAAUUGAUAGAAUGAAAUUUAAUUCUUGAUUUCAUUA